rnacentral:sRNA from 10 species
CAAAUAGAUCGCUAGGGUUCCGGCGUUAUAGACAACGUGACUGGUCCGAGAGCAAUCGACCUUCAUUCGGAGGUUACACGGCGGGAUAAAAGCCCGGGAGGU